CCAAAAUUGUUCUUCGUCUGAUUCAGAAAUCUUCUCCUUUGCGCCUUUAAAGAUUUCAGUCUUCUUCAUCUUCUUCUCUCCUCUUCCUAUCCUCUUUCUCUGCUACUCGAUCUCUCUCAUCUGUCUCGCUGUACGUCGCACGCAAGAUGCCAUCAUUUUGCUGGGAUGCCCUAACCAAUUACCCAACCCAACAACCUUAGCUCCACACAAUGGCUAAACGCGAACUCAUCCCUCCCAUCACCCUCGAGCUCCUCCUUCCUCUCUCCGUCAUCGAUCUCACUCCCUCGCCUCCGUCCAUCUCCCGCUGCCGUCGCCGAAACGAGCUUCGAAGCCACCGUCGUUAUCGUGCAGCUUUGUUCCACCAUUGUGCAGCUACUGUUUCAGCUUUGAAAGCACCGUCGCGCAGCUCGGUUCCAUCGUCGCCGGGCUCGCCUCCUUUUUCCGUCGAGCAGCUCUGUUCCAUCGUCGCCGGCGCUAUCUCUGUUCCACCUGUUAUCCCUUCGGUCGUGCCCUUGUCCCCCUCUUGCUCAGGAUCUACUCUGCUCUGUUCUAGGGCUUCUAGCUUCUAGGCAAAUUGAUCUUGGCUUUGAAGCUGAGCUCCUCAAUUUCUUCCUUGGAUGCCUAACUAUUCAACUCAUGAAGAUCAACUUGAUGCUCUCCAUCCGUUGGAGUCAGUUAUAGCUGUUAUAGUUUGUUAGUGCCUGCUGGCAGUUAGUUAUCUCAGAGUGUACGGGUUUGUAUAUAAUCAUAUGAUCUCAGGUAUUGGACUUAAUUCCAUUCACAAUACAAACUCAGUUUUUGCAUUCCUUUACUUAUAUCUAUACUUUAGCAUGGAACUUCAUAUUGAACUUUGUCCGUCCAUAAAAGAAUUAAUAGGUGAUUUACAUUAUUUUUGAAUACUUGUUCACUGAUGGCUAAAGGUGUGAAAACCAAUUAACCUGAGACCAAUCUAAAAUCCGUCGUACUAGUAGAUAAUAGAAGCCCCCCUUAUUAACCUGAGACCAUAGCCCCAAAGAUCUAUGGGUUUGCCACCGCAUCAACCAUGAAACCAACCCAAUGGAGCUGUAAGUUUGUGGGCUCAAAUCAUUACUUUAGUACUUCUUUUUUAAUAUAAGAUCUUCAAUAUUCAUGAUUAUAUUUUCUACUGUAGAUCCUGGAGGUGGAAUCAACCAAAUUCCAGGGGAAUGUACUAUUUCAGGAGAUGUUAGGUUUAUGCUCUAGGAAAUUACAAUCAAUCUAGAUUUUUCUUUUAGGAAUGGUUUUGAUAUGGCAUUAGUGAUGUUUUUAUUUUGUGUGUUGCAGGUUAACCCCAUUUUACAAGUAAGCAACAUCUUAUAAUAUGGCCAAAGUUGUGCUCUUUUUGGAACUUUGGAUCCAAUUUUUUAUUCUUUGUUUUACUAGUAUAUUUCAUUUGCAAAGUAAUUCUCUAAAGGUAGAAGAAAACAUGUGAGAUUCAGAUAUUUCAAUGAUUUUUCAAGCAUAUCCUGCGGUCUAAUACUUUGUUCAGUGUGAAGGAUGUAGUGACAAAGCUGCAAGAAUAUGUGGACAACAUUAAUCUCAACAUACAUAAGCUAGAAACACGGGGUCCUGUUUCAAAAUAUGUUUUGCCUGAUGAUGACUUAAGGGGAAGGUUUGACUUAUUUAUCCUCCACUAUAUAUAGCUAUUAAGGUUUGGAUCCCUUGAUUUUUAAUUUUCACGUAUGUGUAGCUAUUAAGGCUUCCUUUGCAUUCUUCUACAACCUUACUCUAACUUUUGAUGAGGAAAAUUAUGGAAUAGCUUGUGAUCUUAAUUCCAAAGGCUACCAUGUUUUGUCCAAAGCAACUGAAGUAGUUGGGCAUGUGAAGCCUUACUCAAUUACUGGAAGUUUGCCACUCAUUCGGGAGCUACAGGAUGAAGGUUUUGAUGUCCAAACUACUGGAUGGCCUUCCUAAGAACAAAUUUAUACACGUUGAAUCUUGAUGUAGAUAAGAAACAAGUUACUCACUUGCGUUUCAUGUUACUAUUAGGUCUAAUGGCUACAUACCAUGCCCAGAAUGAGUACUGCUCGAUUGAUAGACUUUGGCAGAGUCAAACGAUAUAGUUUCACUGAAAUUUUGGGUGAUGAUUGGAUACAAAAGCACACAAAAAAAUUCCAGCAAAACCUUGAAGACUAUCAAAGAAGCUCAUGGAAUGAGGUGCUAGGCUUGUUGAAGCUAGACAACAACAACGAAUCACUGGCAAAAGAUGUAGAAAUUGAGUCCAUGAAAGAGAAGUUAAAGUUGUUCAACAUUCAAUUUGAGGAGAUAUGUUGCACUCAGUCUAAAUGGUUUGGCAGCUAUGAAAUACGGAAAGAGAUAAUAGUAUCCGUAGAAAACAUGUUGCCGGCAUAUGGAAGCUUCGUUGGAAGGCUCCAGGAUGUUCUUGGCAAAGCUUCUUAUGACUAUAUACAGUAAGGAAUGCUUGAAAUUAAAGCUCGGCUCAACCUUGGAAGAAUUGAUAAGGGAAGUGGAGAAGAAAAAAGAGAAAAUCAACAGGAAGGACUAUUGGUUGCGUGAGGGAAUCAUUGUUAAGGUUAUGAGCAAGGCCUUGGCAGAGAAGGGGUACUACAAGCAAAAGGGUGUGGUGAGAAAGGUGAUUGACAAAUAUGUUGGGGAAAUUGAUAUGCUUGAAAGCAAGCAUGUGCUGAGAGUCGAUCAGGAAGAGCUUGAAACUGUGAUUCUACAAGUUGGGGGCCGUGUAAAAAUUGUCAAUGGUGCAUAUCGUGGAUCAACUGCGAAACUUUUGGGAGUGGAUACGGAUCAUUUUUGUGCAAAGGUGCAGAUAGAGAGAGGUGCCUAUGAUGGCAGGGUACUCAAAGCUGUGGAAUAUGAAGACAUUUAUAAAAUAGCACAAUGAGUUUGAUGAGAAUAAUAACCAAGUGAUUUUGUGUUAAGUUGGUUGAAUAACAUUGUUUGUUCUUAUGUAUCUGUCUGUAGUUUAUCAGUUUUAUCUAUAUGUGAGAUCAGUCAUGUCGAUAAUCUUCUUGAUUAAUGAACUUCUACAAUGUUAUACGUGCAAUUAAAUGAUUAAUGAACUUCUUGAUUUAGAACGUAAUGGUUCAAUGUUCACAAGGUUGAGAUGUUGUUCUUCUGCUUACAUGUAUAUACAUUGGAUCAUUCUUAUAUCAGUUGCACAUAUGAAGAAAAAGAUUAUGAUUAUGAAUUUAUUUUCUUCUGCUUCACAUGUA